rnacentral:rRNA from 1 species
GAUGAACGCUGGCGGCGUGCCUAAUACAUGCAAGUCGAGCGAACGGACGAGACGCUUGCUUCUCUUAUGUUAGCGGCGGACGGGUGAGUAACACGUGGAUAACCUACCUAUAAGACUGGGAUAACUUCGGGAAACCGGAGCUAAUACCGGAUAAUAUUUUGAACCGCAUGGUUCAUAAGUGCAAGACGGUCUUGCUGUCACUUAUAGAUGUAUCCUGGUUGCAUUAGCUAGUUGGUACGGUAACGGCUUACCAAGGCUACGAUGCGUAGCUGACCUGAGAGGAUGAUCAGCCACACUGGAACUGAGACAAGGUCCAGACUCCUACGGGAGGCAGCAGUAGGGAAUAUUGGGCAAUGGGAGAAAGCCUGACGGAGCAACACCGCGUGAGUGAAGAAGGUCUUCGGAUCGUAAAGCACUGUUAUUAGGGAAGAACAGAUGUAUAAGAAAAUCUGCAUAUCUUGACGGUACCUAAAGAAUAAGCAACGGCUAACUACGUG